rnacentral:rRNA from 1 species
CACGUAGGGCGCAAGCGUUGUCCGGAAUUAUUGGGCGUAAAGAGCUCGUAGGCGGUCUGUUGCGUCCGCUGUGAAAACCCGGGGCUUAACCCUGGGCUGGCAGUGGAUACGGACAGACUAGAGGUAGGUAGGGGAGAAUGGAAUUCCCGGUGUAGCGGUGAAAUGCGCAGAUAUCGGGAGGAACACCGGUGGUGUAGACGGCUUUCUGGACCGUAACUGACGCUGAGACACGAAAGCGUGGGUAGCAAACAGG